ensembl:lncRNA
CCGGGUUGCAGGGUUUCUACAGUAUUCAUCUUUGAACGUCGUCGUUUAGUUUUCUGGUCCGCGUGUUCUUUUUUUUUUUGUUUGUUUGUUUUGCAUCGCUCGUUUAUUUGUUCAUUUUUGUUUUUUUUUUAAACCUAAUCAAAGUCCCAAAGAGUUAAGGAUUAACCCCCAUAUAAAAAUAAAUAAAUAAAUAAAUCUGAUUGACAUGACCUGGCUUGCAUAAACAGAGAAGUAACGCUGGCGUACCUAAACGUGUCUCCCUUUCUCCACGUGUCCAUUCCCUCCUCUUCCGGUCUUUCACGCUUUCUCCGUCCGAGAGCCGUCCGCGAGCCUCCGAGCUUCCGUCGGCUUCCAGAAGAGUAGGAGGGUCACGGCCGCCGAUCACGCGAUGCGGGGGCGGGGGGUUUGCGUGCACGUUUUAUCGUUGACCGUUCAAACAAAACGGCCUGCGAGCACGAUUCCACAGAACCGCGUAGUCUGAUGGAGAAAUUUAAAAAAUGGACUCUUGGAUUUUUUCGAAUUUUAAAGUUAAGCAAACGCUCGUCUUUAACCUUUUAACACGCGACAGGGUUUUAAAAAUGUCCCAGUUUAACCUCAUGUUCAAACAGAAGCAUGACUCACUUUAUUUAGAUGAAUUAUGUACAGUGCGUUGCGUAAGUAUUCACCCCCUUGAACUUUUUUUUUUUUUUCUUUCUCUUUUUCUCCCCCUCCUCUCCAUGUUUUGUACUGUCACAACCUGGAACUGAAAUGGCUCUUAACUGGGAUUGUGCCGUGAAUCUACGCAAAAUAGCCCGUUAAUAUUGAACUGCAGGGAAUACUUAUACAGUUCAAGUUAUUUACAAAUAAAACAUAAAGGUGAAGCAUCGGCGUGUUGGUUCUGGUUCGGCCGGUCGCCAUCAGGAGUCACAUGUUCAGUCGUCGUGUACAAUAUCUCAGGAUCUCUAGAGUGUUGGAGAACAUGCCUAAACACACAGCAAGAAAUCCAGGAGAACGUUCUGGAAAAGUAUCAAGCAAGAAUAUGACUGCAGCUCUGCCUAGAGAGAAUGUCCACCAAAAGGGGUCAGUAGAGAAGCAACUAAGAGACCAAAGGGAAUGCUGAAGAUGAUGCCGCCGCCACCACCGUGCUUCACAGUAGGGAUGGGACUCGGGGUGACGAGCGAUCUCGUCUUAACGCCAAGGCUGACAAAUUCACUUUUGGUCUCAUCAGACCAGAGAACCUUUUAACCUUCUUCUUCUUCUUCUCGCCACUUUUUUCCCAUCAAGUCCAGCUUUGUGAUCAUCCAAAGAACAACUCCUCCCAUCUGAGCUGUAGAUCUUUCCCGUUACCCUUGGGUCGCUCUUGGCCUGCUCACUGGCUCUCGGUGGACUUGUUUCGGUAGCUCCUCCAUGGCCAGGUCUUCACGAUGCCCCGCGUUUUUAGAAAUGUUCUCUACCAGACUCCGGGUUCUCCCAGGAACAAGGUACAUCGAGAUGAUAAUCCGCGCUUUAUUUACACACGGGUCGCCUAAAUUCUCAACCAAACACGUGACUCCCGACGUUAAACCGUCUGCACCAGGACUAAUUUAGGGGACUGAUACUCGAACGUCGCCUUUUGUGAUAUAAAAUCUAGAUCAUCUUCCCCUCCGCGUGUAUAUUCCGCGCAACUUUGUGUCGAUCCACGGCGUCUCGAUCCCGAUCGAAGUCGAUUUCAGUUCCAGGAUGUAACAGAACACAUCAUUUAAAGGGGAGGGGGGGUGAAUACUUAGGCAUGUCAGGUUAUUCGGUGUGUUCCCACCACACGCAGUUUUAAGUGGGAUUUAGUUGCACUAAUCGUCAGAGAUUUGAACAAACGCAAGCUUCACAGCUGCUGUUAUAAAAGCUGUUCGUAAACGCGAUCGGAAUCACAAACGCUCACGUCAGCAGUCUUGAGCGGAGAGCAACGUUUAUUAGUCGGCUCAUUUGCAUAAUCCGGCACGUGAUCCGUAUAUCAGUGGGAUGUUUAAAGUUGUUUGUUUGUUUGUUUGUUUUUUCCCCCCCGAUGACGAUUACGCAAACGAUAUCUUGCAGGAUUCGUAUUUUCACAGGAGAUUGUUUUAAUAAAUAAAUAAUAAAAUAAAAAGGAAAGGACGGAAAUGAGCGAACUGAUUCGUUGUUUUUGUUUUUUUUUUUGUUGUUUUUUUAACAUUGAUGCGAUAAGUCACCGUCGUGCACCUCCGUUCAUCCUCUAACGACUGCGUGUGUCGUGUUCUGUGGAAACGUACGUUAGUCUGUCGAUCCGUCCCGUGUGUGUGUGCGCGUGUGCGUGUGUGUGUGUGUGUAAACGUUCUGAAAUGAUCUAGAAACUGCGAGAUACCUCAGAAACGCACGUGACGAGAGCAGUGUCUUUGCGUGUCGUCCGUCACGUUUUUUCCCCUCCCAUCCGCCGUGGCGCUCCGUUCUCUCCGUUCUUUACAGUUUCUUCACUUUCUGCAGUUUUUUUUGUGUGUGUCAGAGUCAGUACGAACACAAUAAAAUCAAAGUUUAUUUUAAAGUUACUCCGUGUGGAGUUCUUGGGUGUUGAUGAAUUACGCCGCACGGCGCUUUCCUGAUCUCGCGUACUGAGAUCUAUUUUUCCAGUUUGUUUAAAAAUAACUGAUAAAUUUGUAUUAAACCUGUCAAAUUGUAAAA